rnacentral:rRNA from 1 species
UGAACUGGGUAGCUAGAGUAUGUCAGAGGGGGGUAGAAUUCCACGUGUAGCAGUGAAAUGNGUAGAGAUGUGGAGGAAUACCGAUGGCGAAGGCAGCCCCCUGGGAUAAUACUGACAUUCAUGCUCGAAAGCGUGGGUAGCAAACAGGAUUAGAUACCCUGGUAGUNCACGCCCUAAACGAUGUCGAUUAGCUGUUGGGCAACUUGAUUGCUUAGUAGCGUAGCUAACGCGUGAAAUCGACCGCCUGGGGAGUACGGUCGCAAGAUUAAAACUCAAAGGAAUUGACGGGGACCCGCACAAGCGGUGGAUGAUGUGGAUUAAUUCGAUGCAACGCGAAGAACCUUACCUGGUCUUGACAUGUACGGAAGAACUCAGAGACGAGUUUGUGCCUUCGGGAGCCGUAACACAGGUGCUGCAUGGCUGUCGUCAGCUCGUGUCGUGAGAUGUUGGGUUAAGUCCCGCAACGAGCGCAACCCUUGUCAUUAGUUGCCAUCAUUUAGUUGGGCACUCUAUGAGACUGCCGGUGACAAACCGGGGGAAGGUGGGGAUGACGUCGAGUCCUCAUGGCCCUUAUGACCAGGGCUUCACACGUCAUACAAUGGUCGGUACAGAGGGUAGCCAAGCCGCGAGGUGGAGCCAAUCCCAGAAAACCGAUCGUAGUCCGGAUUGCACUCUGCAACUCGAGUGCAUGAAGUCGGAAUCGCUAGUAAUCGCAGGUCAGCAUACUGCGGUGAAUACGUUCCCGGGUCUUGUACACACCGCCCGUCACACCAUGGGAGUGGGGGAUACCAGAAGUAGGUAGGG